UUGCUCUCAGUGCUCGAUGUCUCUCUGGGCUCGGCUAAUCUUCACCUUGUCCUUGGGGGUCUCCGCCUCGCCAGUCUCCAUGGCAAACAUCUUCAUCUUCUCCUUGAAGACAUGACUUGGGCAGGCGCUGCCAGCUUACCUGUACACCUCCUGUGCCCCGAUCACACCUGGUGUGCUCCCACUAACGUUGCGUGUCGGAGAGGAGUUUAACAUCGUCUCGGCCUCGUUGAUGAAGUUCUGAAGAAAAAAUCAUUUUUGAGACAUCAGUUUGCUGUCACUGGCCCAGCAUUCACCAUCAAAAGAACCAGGUGAGUAAGAGCUGAAGACCACUCACUGUUGAGGGAAGGGACCGACUUGGAGGCUUGGAUGCGGGGGGCCUGGUGGAGGUGUGAAGGUGCAGGGGUGUCCUGGCCGUGCUCCAGCACCUUGGAUGGCAG